ensembl:misc_RNA Y_RNA Y RNA
GGCUAGUCCAAGUACAGUGGUGUCUAUAGCUAAUUGAUCACAACAAGUUACAGAUUCCUUUGUUCCUUCCCACUCUGAUUGCUUCACUUUACUAGCCUUAA